GGAAUUUCUAAUUUUCCUCUGUAAAUUCCUUCAAUUACCUCCAAUGAUGGAAUUUCUAGCUUAGGAUUUCAGUUUCUUCUGCAGAGAUCUUUCUCGAUUUCUCUUCUCUCUUUCCGGUUUUGAAUCUCUCUGUUUGAUUACUUACUCUGCGAAUCUCGCCCUACUCCAUGUAGAAAACGUGGAGAAGAAAUUCAGAUCAGUUAUUUUUUUUAGAUGAAGAAAAUCUCGAUCGGUUUGUUUUUUUCUUUGGAUCUCGAAGAGAUGGAACCAUUGUUGCAUCGAUUUUAGUGAAAUUCCUUCAGAUCUAAAGUAAUUCCAGACAUGCAUAGAUUAGAAGGGGGAUAUUGUUCUAGAUCUUAUCAUGAAUCGGGCAUAUUCUUCUUUGGAAUCUCUUUAGGGGAAAUUUUAACUUCGUUAGACUGCGGACCGAAGUUAGAUCUGAUGAGAAAGUGUUGAAAUCUUGCCGAUUUUUGAGCAGAAAGCAUUGGAAUUGUCCAAUCUGAAGUAAAUGGCCAUGAUCUGUCUGGUAGAAAUGCAUGCAAACACAAGGAUGCAUCAUAGAUUUGUGUUUGAAGUUCUCCACCUUGAAUGGACUGAAAAUGCUGAGGAACCUCAGCCUCUCGGGCAAUUCUUUCACCGGUCGCCUCAACCCUACCAUUGGAACAAUUACUUCUCUGCAGCAUUUGGAUCUGUAGGAAACCAGUUCUACGGUCCAAUCCCAGCCCGGCUCAUAGAGCUCUGGGGAGUCUUUUAAGGAUUGUUCAAUGCAGAUAUUUCAGAACUUGGAAAUAUUGGAUGUGAGUCAAAAUUAGAUCAGAGGGAAGCUUCCUUCGUUUCAUCCAUUGCUAUCCCUUCGGGUUUUGUGGGUUGGUAAGAAUCUGCUAGAUGGAUCUAUACCACCUGAGCUCUUUAGGAGUUCCAUGCAGCUGGAAGAACUAGAUCUCAGCAGUAAUGGAUUUUCAAGUAAAGAAAUUGCCGAUGAUUUUAAGUGCAUACACAUUAUCUUUAAUCUACACAUCCUUGUUUUGCACAAAGUUUCUGUGGAAAGUAAUGCAUCGGUUGUAUUAUGCUUUACUGGCCUUUUUUUUUUUGUCAAUUAUUUGAAUUUGAAUUUUUGAAUCCAACUUGUGGAGCAUGUUUUCUGUAUGACAAUUUUUUGUUGUAUGAGAAUCCAAGUAAAUUCUUGAUGUCUGCUCGUAACUUCAAUUUUAUUGCAUUGGGUUUGGGUGGGUGGACUAUUAUGAGUUGAUGUCAGCUUUUAAAUUUCCAAUGCAAAUUUUCAUGGUGUUUGAGUUGCUGGCAUUACGAUGAUUUAUUUUCUGACAAGAAACUGUAUGAGAUGUUUUGUAAUGGAAAAUUUUCUCACUUCUGUUUUCGUAUUUUGUAGAUAUGUAGGGCACUAGCUUACAUUCAUGGUAAUGUUGGAGUAUCAUACUUGCCAUGCAGGCCAUGCCUCACUUCAGGUUUUUUCUUUUUAAAAAAAAAGAAGAAGAGGAUGAAAGUGAAAUACAGAAUCAAAUGCAUAUUGAAUAAUUCUUGAUCAAUGAAAGUGAUUUAAAAAAAUAGCUGGAGGGAAACUCACUUCUGACAUAGUCCCCUGCCUUGGCGACAACUCUUUUGAUAAAGACAUCACUUGAACUGAAACCCUUUCCCUGCACAUAGUGGUAUCAUGAUCAUAAUUAUAGGGUCCUAGUCAUGCAUAUCAUUUCAUUGGCAACAACUGCUACUUAAGAUGUAUUGCAGUAUGAGAUUUAAAAAAACAUACCUGCAGGGCAGGAGGAGCCUUGAAAAUCACUGUCUGUAACAUCGGGAUCUUUAAAAUAAUAAGAAACCUGUAAAGUUUGCAAGGCAACACAAAAGAUCAGCUCCAAGAUAUUUAAAGGGGAAAAAAUAUCAUCUAGAUGAGCAAGAUCUACAUGAUUCUGGAAGAUAAAAGCAUCAAGCAAUCUUGAUUGGGUGAGCAUUUGCAAUUCUACUUAGUUGCAUAUCUAAAGUUCCAAAUUCAUCCUUAGAAAAUCAGUGUGAGGAAUUAAAUUGACAGCAAACUAAACCCAUGGAAUUAGUUCGAAAAUAGUAGUUUCUUGAUUCGAUGUGUUUAUCAGUUGGUAUUCAAACAGAGUCUCAAUAGAGUCGGUAUUUCAAUUUGAAUUGACAGGGAACUAAACUCAGCACAUUAGUUACAAUUUUCUCAUUUAUAGAUUAGAUGAGCAUUUGCAAUUCAAAUCAUUUGCGUAUCCAUACAUAGCCUUACAGAAUCAUUUGCGUAUCCAGUCACCUUGGAUUAGCUAGAAUUGGUAGCUUAGUUUGGUUGUUUGAUGUACUAGUUUCCAUCUUAUUCUGGAUUAUCAUUAAUGUGUUAUUUGAGGCACUAGUAUUCAUGUUAGUCUUAAAUGUCAUGUGCUUCUUCUCAGUUCACAUUAGACUACUUUUGGUUUCUCUUUAUUCAAUUUACAGGAAAUAUAAUAUUAUGAGGCUUACUUCACAUGUAAUGUUGUACCCACCAUCCAUGUAAUAGAUUUCAUUGUGUUUCUUUACAUCCAUGUAAUAGAUUUCAUUGUGUUUCUUUUUCUCUGUCAUUUAAUAUACUUUAGCUUUUUAAAUGUAACAAUCUAAUAUGUCAUUUAAUAUUUUUCUAUUGGGAUUUUAGAAAACCCCCAGUUCUGCCCAAAACUUGACUCGAUCAGGUUGAGAUGGUCCUUCGAGAGCAUCCUAAUCCGUCUCAAGUGGAGAAGGUGAAACUAAUCCUUGGGGAGCAUGAAAAAGAACUUAACGAAGCACUUGAGAAGGUCGUUGGUGUAUUAGACGAUGGAAUCGCAUUGAUUUGCAAGGUGAUUAUAGCUGAAAUAGUCGUUAUGUGGGGCUGUUGGACACUUUCAUGUGUAAGUAUUUCUGAUGUAGAUAGGCAACAUCCUUUGUUUCCUAUGACUAAUACAAACUGCAGGAUGUUUUUUUAUGUUGAUAGAUGCUAACUCCUUUUUGUACUACAGCCCUGUUUGAUAGGCUGUGUCAAGGAUGAUUGGGUUUCUGUACCUCUGUUAUGUGGGUAAGAGCAAUUGGAGUCUUAUGGAAUGGAUCAACUGUACCUCUGUUAUGUGUUACUGAUGGCUGCCAUCCUGGAGUGACAUUGGACCGGAAUGGAUUGCGCCCCAAUCGCUUUUACAUUACACAUAGUGGACACGUGAUCAUGGCCAGUGAGGUUGGUGUUGGAGACAUCUUUCCAGAAGAUGUGGCUAGGAAAGGAAGACAUCUGAUCGGUCCAAAGGGACCUUACUGAAACAGUUCAUGUGGAAGGCUAGGAAAGGAAGACAUUUGUAGUCUGUUUUUAAAACUUUAAAUAGACCAUUAAUUGUUUUGUUGAUAUUGUGUUGAUUGUUGUCUUGAUGAAUGUUAAAUGGGUGAAAUAUGCACAAGGUCAAUCAUUUGUUGAUUAUGAUAUUGUUAGCUUUGGUUGAUAGAGAAA